GACAGAGGUGCCAAGCGUUAGGCGGAAUCACUGGGCUUAAAGCGUGUGUAGGCGGACUGGUAAGUACCUUGUGAAAUCCCCCGGCUCAACCGGGGAACUGCUGGGUAUACUGGCGAUCUUGAGCGAUCUAGGGGCAGAUGGAACAAGUGGUGGAGCGGUGAAAUGCGUAGAUAUCACUUGGAACGCCAAAGGUGAAAACAGUCUGCUGGGGAUCUGCUGACGCUGAGACACGAAAGCCAGGGGAGCGAACGGG
rnacentral:rRNA from 1 species